CUCAAUUGCACACCUGUUACCACGACAUUAAAGAUCUAAAGUCCAAGGCCAAAUCCCUUCCGCACCACAGACCGUGUGACUGUGCAGUUGAUUUGCUGCCUGGAACCACACCUCCACGAGGGAGGUUGUUCUCUCUUUCACGGCCGGAACACAAGGCUAUGAAGGAGUAUGUGGUUGAAUCACUGGCAGCCGGGAUUAUUCACCCAUCUUCAUCCCCUACGGGAGCCGGAUUUUUAUUUGUGGACAAGAAGGACAAGACUCUGCGACCCUGUAUCGAUUACCGGGGUCUCAACGACAUUACUGUGAAAAACAGGUACCCUCUUCCUCUCAUGUCCACCGCCUUUUGAGUUCCUGGAGGGAGCCAAGGUUUUCACCAAACUAGACAAGAAAUGCAUAUCAUCGAGUCAGGAUAAGGGAGGGGGAUAAAUGGAAAACAGCAUUCAACACACCAACGGGACAUUACGAGUAUUUGGUGAUGCCUUUUGGACGAACUAACGCUCCAGCUAUGUUCCAGAACUUUGUCAAUGAUGUCCUGCGUGACAUGUUGAAUGUGUACGUUUUUGUAUAUUUGGACGAUAUUUUGAUAUUCUCCCCGGAUGAGGAGACUCACAUCAUUCAUGUCCGCUCUGUGUUGCAGCAGUUAUUGCAGAAUGAACUAUAUGUCAAGGCUGAGAAAUGUGAGUUCCACAAGGCGUCCCUUUCUUUUCUGGGGUUCGUGCUGGUUCCAGGUGAAAUCAAAAUGGACCCUUGCAAAGUUGAUGCCGUGACUAAUUGGCCCACUCCCACGUCACGCAAAUACGUACAAAUGUUCUUAGGGUUCGCUAAUUUCUACAGAAAGUUCAUUAGAAAUUUCAGUUCUAUAGCCUCGUCUUUGCAUGAUCUUACCUCACCACACAGACCUUUCAUAUGAACCCGCUUUGUCAGGCAGCUUUUCAGAAACUUAAAUCGAGCUUUACCUCCGCUCCCAUCCUCACUUUGCCAGAUCUCACAAAGCAGUUUGUGGUAGAAGUAUGAUGCCGGUAUAGGAGCAGUGCUCGCCCAGAAAUGUCUCAAGGAUGGUAAAUUACAUUCUUGUGCUUAUCUGUCCAAAAAACUGACCCCAGCCGAGAGAAAUUAUGACAUUGGUGACCGUGAACUGCUGACAGUCAAGGUGGCUUUGAUGGAGUGGUGGCACUGGAGGGGGCACAUACUCCGUUUUUAGUAUGACAGAUCACAAGAACCUGGAAUAUCUUAAAUCUGCUAAGAGAUUAAAUGCGAGGCAGGAUAGAUGGGCUCUGUUUUUCACUAGAUUCAAUUUCACGUUAUCCUACCGACCUGGUUCUAAAAAUGGUAAGCCAGAUGCUUUAUCGCGCAUUUUCUGCGCAGAGAAUUCUUAGUCCGACCCUAAUACCAUUUUGCCCAAGUCAUGUUUCGUUUCUGCUUUUGUUUGGGACAUUGAGACUGCAGUAAAAGAGGCUCUGAAGAACACUCUUAGCCCUGAAAAUUGUCCUGAAAACAGGCUUUAUGUGGUUCCGACCUGAAGGGGAAGAGUCAUCCACUGGGCUCACACUAACCGGACAGUAUGUCACCCAGGAAUUGCCAAGACUCAAUCUGUGAUCGAACAACGCUUUUGGCGGCCCAUUGUUAGAAGGGAUGUUACCAAUUAUGUCAAUGCUUGCCAGGUAUGUGCUGCUAACAAGUCCUCUCGUAAACAUCCUUCUGGGGAGUUACGACCCCUUCCAAUACCACAACGUCCUUGGUCAGACAUCUCCGUAGACUUUGUGACGGGAUUACCGGCCUCGAAAGGAAAUACACCAUUCUCACAGUCGUGGACAGGUUAAGAUGGCAGACUUCAUUGCACUCCUGAAAUUCAAGUUCCAUGGUUUCCUCAAGAAUGUGGUAUCUGAUAGGGGUCCCCAAUUCAUUUCACAAUUUUGGAAGGAGUUUUGCAAUCUCAUAGGUGCUACCGUCAGUCUGUCAUCUGGGUUCCACCCCGAAACCAACGGACAAACCAAGAGCCUGAACCAGGACCUGGAGACUGGGCUGCAAUGUCUCGGUUGACAGGAGCCACGAUCCUGGUCUCAGAAACUGGUUUGGGUCGAAUUCUCUCACAAUUCCCUCUCCUCUGCAUCCACUGGUCAAUCGCCUUUUCACGUUGUGCGUGGUUAUCAACCAUCUCUAUUUCCUGCCAUAGCACCAGAGUCCGCAGUUCCAGCGGCAUUGGCCUUGGUGAGACGCUGCAGGAGGACCUGGGAGCGAGCCCGCCAGAUGCUGCUGCGCCACGGACGGUCCUACAAAACCGCUGCUGACCGUCGGAGGACUACAAGGUGGGUCAGCGAGUUUGGCUCUCCGCAAAGCAUAUUCCACUCCGGGUGGAGCCCAGGAAGCUCGCUCCCAGGUUCGUUGGGCCCUUCCCCAUCACAUUAAUCAUCAACCCUGUCACCGUGAAGCUUAGGCUCCCAAGGUCGAUGCGGGUCCACCCUGCUUUUCACGUCAGCCUGCUCAAGCCCGCCCGGGAGUGCCCUCUGGUCCAGCCUUCCAGGCCCCCGCCUACAUCCCAGAGUCGUGCAUUUUUGGGUCCUAUCCUCUGUUCCGUUCAUGACAGUCCACUGUCCACACCGCGACCUGCCAACACAUGCAGGACCACCUCCAUAACCUUUUCUCAAUCUGUUCAUCAUUUUACAUCUGCCUCCGCCUGCUCUUGGGUCCAGCUACUCCCCUCUCCUCGCGUGCUCCCCUGUGUACCUGACCCUCGUCAUUCCUACCACCAAGCCAGCCGCCUGUCCACACCGCAGCCUGCCAACACUUCCAAGACCACCUCCAUAACCUUUUCUCA